rnacentral:rRNA from 18 species
AGAGUAGGGCGGGACACGUGAAAUCCUGUCUGAACAUGGGGGGACCAUCCUCCAAGCCUAAGUACUCCUUAUCGACCGAUAGUGAACAAGUACCGUGAGGGAAAGGUGAAAAGUACCCCGACGAGGGGAGUGAAACAGUUCCUGAAACCGGAUGCCUACAAACAGUUGGAGGGCGCAAGCCUGACAGCGUACCUUUUGUAUAAUGGGUCAGCGACUUAGUGUUGCGUGCAAGCUUAAGCCGUUAGGUGUAGGCGUAGCGAAAGCGAGUCUGAAUAGGGCGCCCUAGUUCGUUGGAUUAGACCCGAAACCGAGUGAUCUAGCCAUGGC